AGUGAACGCUGGCGGUAGGCCUAACACAUGCAAGUCGAACGGCAGCACAGUAAGAGCUUGCUCUUACGGGUGGCGAGUGGCGGACGGGUGAGGAAUACAUCGGAAUCUACUUUUUCGUGGGGGAUAACGUAGGGAAACUUACGCUAAUACCGCAUACGACCUACGGGUGAAAGCAGGGGAUCUUCGGACCUUGCGCGAUUGAAUGAGCCGAUGUCGGAUUAGCUAGUUGGCGGGGUAAAGGCCCACCAAGGCGACGAUCCGUAGCUGGUCUGAGAGGAUGAUCAGCCACACUGAAAAUGAGACACGUUCCAGGCUCCGACGGGAGGCAGCAGUGGGGAAUAUUGGACAAAGGGAGCAAGCCUGAUCCAGCCAGACCGCGUGGGCGAAGAAGGCCUUCGGGUUGUAAAGCCCUUUUGUUGGGAAAGAAAAGCAGCAGGUUAAUACCCCGCUGUUCUGACGGUACCCAAAGAAUAAGCACCGGCUGACUUCGU
rnacentral:rRNA from 1 species